CUCAAGUGUUGUUACUCCUGUGUCUGUCUCCCUCCAAGUCAACGGUGCUACCAUCAGCUCCACCAUGCAGGCUCGCUGCCUAGGUGUUCUCUUUGACUCCGACCUCUCCUUCAAGCCUCAUGUUCAAUCUAUCGCCAAAUCCUGUCAUUUCCAUCUCAAAAACAUUGCGCGCAUCCGUCCCUACUUAACGCCAGAUGCGACUAAGGUGUUGGUCCAUUCCACUGUCC
rnacentral:lncRNA from 1 species